UACGUAGGGGGGCUAGCGUUGUCCGGAAUCAUUGGGCGUAAAGAGCGCGUAGGCGGCCAGAUAAGUCCGGUGUGAAAGUCAAAGGCUCAACCUUUGAAUGCCGCUGGAAACUGUCUGGCUAGAGUCCGGGAGGGGCGAGUGGAAUUCCUGGUGUAGCGGUGAAAUGCGCAGAUAUCAGGAGGAACACCAAUGGCGAAGGCAGCUCGCUGGAACGGUACUGACGCUGAGGCGCGAAAAGCGUGGGGAGCGAACAGG
rnacentral:rRNA from 1 species